GACAGAGGGGGCAAGCGUUGCUCGGAAUUACUGGGCGUAAAGGGCGCGUAGGCGGGAUGGCAAGUCGGUCGUGAAAUCCCUCGGCUCAACCGAGGAACGUCGAUCGAUACUGCUGUUCUUGAGGAUUGCAGAGGAGACUGGAAUUCCCGGUGUAGCGGUGAAAUGUGUAGAGAUCGGGAGGAACACCGGUGGCGGAGGCGGGUCUCUGGGCAAUUCCUGACGCUGAGGCGCGAAAGCGUGGGGAGCAAACGGG
rnacentral:rRNA from 1 species